GCUGAAGAAUGAUAUAGGGUACAGAGAAAUUGUAGCAGCAGCAUUCAGUAUGAUGCUCCAUUCCAUCUAGACAGCUAGGAAUUACCUCAGAUUCCAGAAGAGACCUUACUCUAGUGAUGCAAUUUGUAGAAGUAUAGCAUUGCAUAUACAUAUGAAAAGAAAUUAAGUAAAUAAGUGGCACAAACAGUUACAAAAGUUAAAUUCUUAUCCUUGAUGAAUGUGUAGCUAGCCAGGACAUGUGUGUGUAUGAGUAAUAGUAGAAUGUGAGAGGUAAUUGGUCAGCAAUUACUUGGUUUUGUAAUGUUAAAUUUGAUGGAAUGAAAA
rnacentral:lncRNA from 1 species